UUCACGAUCCUCCAAUCGGUUUCGACUGGUGCUGGUGGUGAGUCACGACGCGGACCGGAUGAUCGCGAAAGCGGCGAUGUGUGAGGUGGAACUUUGAGAGGGAGGUGGUGGGUACGCGGUCGUUUCCUCCUCCCUCCUUUCCUCUCCUCCUCCUCCUCUGCCUAUUUCUCCACCAUCGCUCUCUCACUCGCCGCCUUCAAUCCACGACGCCUCCGCCGCCUGCUACUUGUCUACGAAGUAACGGCCGCCACUGCAUGACCCAACCCAAGAAACCAAGAAGUUAAGACGUCGCGGUGGAUCUGAAGUUCGAUUUGCUUAUUCGAACGCGUCCGAUCUCUCCCUCUUUCUCUCUUUUUAACUAUUGUUUCGAUUCGUGGUGCUCCGGUGGUUUUUCUGGUGGCAGCGACCGCGAUUUGGCUGAGGAGUACGGGAAUCUGGUCUAUGGCAUGCCUCCGGAUGAGGCAAGAACCUAGCUUUUAUUAUUUUGACUCCUGUCGCUGCUUAGGGUACUAUCGGCCUCUACCUCCGCGCUUGGAGUUUUCGCCGGCGUUGUCGCCCCCUUCCUGCGUUUUGUUGUGAAUAAAGAAGCGAUGAGGAUUCCGAUGCUCUUCUUCUGCUGCGUCCUGUGCGUAUCUCUUCUUUGUGGUUCAGCUAAGGUUCUGGCAUUUACUGGAACCUACGGGAUAAACUAUGGCAGGAUUGCAGACAAUUUACCAUCACCCGAAAGAGUGGUCACACUUCUUAAAGCAGCAAAGAUAAAGAAUGUGAGAAUCUAUGAUGCAGAUCCCAGUGUGCUCAAUGCAUUCAAAGGGUCUGGGCUUGAUUUGACUGUAGCAAUUAAUAAUGGGUAUCUGAGAGAAAUGAGUGUCAAUGAAGAACAUGCUGUUAGCUGGAUCAAGGUUAAUGUGCAAUCAUUUUUGCCUGAUACCCGUAUCCGAGGGAUUGUAGUGGGGAAUGAAGUGUUGGGAAGUACUGAUCAGGAACUUGCUCAAGCUCUUGUUGGUGCCAUAAAGAAUGUUUAUAAUGCUCUCAAGAGUCUACAAUUAGCAGACAGUAUUGAGUUGUCAACACCACAUUCACAGGCUGUUUUUGCUAAUUCCUUUCCUCCCUCAUCGUGCAUUUUUAAAGAUGAUGUCCUUGUUUACAUGAAGCCCAUCCUGGAAUUCUUUUCCCAGAUUGGUAGUCCAUUUUAUCUUAACGCAUAUCCAUUCUUGGCUUACACAUAUGACCCUCAGAAUAUCGAUAUCAAUUAUGCUCUUUUCCUGUCCAAUAAUGGAGUGCAUGAUCCAAAGACUGAUCUACACUAUGACAACAUGCUUGAUGCUCAAAUAGAUGCAGCUUAUGCUGCUCUGGAAGCUGCUGGAUAUGACAAGAUGGAAGUCAGGAUAUCAGAGACCGGAUGGGCUUCUGCAAGUACUGACAAUGAAACAGGAGCUAACCUCCAGAAUGCAAGGACUUACAAUUUUAAUCUUCGUAAGCGCCUUUUCAAGAAGAAAGGGACACCACUUAGGCCAAAAAUCGUGGUUAAAGCAUAUAUUUUUGCCUUGUUCAAUGAGGAUUCGAAGACUGGAGCGAAUUCUGAGAAACACUAUGGGCUAUUCGAGCCAAAUGGGAGCAUAGCGUAUGAUAUUGGCUAUUCUGGACUGAAGUCUUCAUCUGCAUCUCCAUCUCACUUAACUUUGAAGUUCCAGUUGAUUGUUGAGGAAAAUUACUUGGAGCAGCAACUGAGACAACACAGUUGAUCAACUUUGUCACCAUUUUCAAUCACUAGGCCUUGAGGCAUAAUGUAGAGGAUAUCCAUGUGCAAGGUUCAUUAGCAACAUACAACAUUGUUCUCACAUGCUUUAUGACAGUCAUUCUGUCUUUGACCAUUUAGUUUGACAAUACAAGUACUGCUUCAAGCAAUGGACCAUGCAAUUUUCGGUUGGAUCCUUGUACCUGCUCUUUGUUGUAGUAUCUACAUUUUCUGUUGACAAGUACAAUGCCGGUACAAGUGAUUCAAUUCUGAUAUUGUUGAUAGUGCAAUGCUUCUCCCCACAUGAUCUCAGAAAUUAUAUCAGUGAUGUCUAGUAAAUAUCAAUAGGAAAAAAUUGCUAGAGAUAUGGAAGCUGAGAGUUAUAUUCCUGUUUUAAUUUCAUGAACAAAUUCAUACUGAGGCCCCUUGUUGAUCGGGGCCUAUGUCAUAACUAUCUGCUUAAGUUUUGAUCGUAAACAAUAAUUAAAUAAGUUAUUGUGUA